CUUGUUUUUACCUAUUGUAAAUUACUUUAUGUAGUAUGGUGCAAAUCUCUCAGCAUUUCUUGAAAUUCUGUUUGUUUAAAUGGAAAUAAUUUUUUCAGCUGCUAUUUCUGUUGUCAGAGAAGCCUCUAUACUCUGAAUCUCUCAUGAAUAAGGCCUUACUCCACUCAUUUUCUUAGGAAACAGUCCUGCUGGCUUCAGAAACAUCAAAAUAAGCUUCUGUUUUUUCCAGCUUUACAUAUUAC
rnacentral:lncRNA from 1 species